rnacentral:rRNA from 1 species
GAUGAACGCUGGCGGCGUGCCUAAUACAUGCAAGUCGAGCGAACAGAUCCGGCUCUUGCUCCUCUCUCGUUUGCCGCGCACGGGUGUGUCACACGUGUAUACCCUCCUUAUCAUUCUGGUAUCUCUUCGGGACACCGGCUCUUACACCGUAUAAUCUAUUGCUCCGUAUUGUUCAUUAGAGAAAUACGGUUUUUCUGUCUCUUCUAGCUGCAUCCGCGCCGUAUUAGCUAGUUGGGACGGUAACGGCUUACCAAGGCAACGAUGCGUAGCCGAAGUGAGAGAGGGAUAGGCCACACUAGAACGGAGACACGGACAAGACUCCUACGGGAGGCAGCAGUAGGGAAUGUUCCGCAAUGGGCGAAAGCAUGACGGAGUAAGGGCGCGUGAGUGAUGAAGGUCUUCGGAGCGUAAAAAUCUGUUAUGAGGGAAGAACAAAUGUGUAAGUAACUAUGCACGUAUUGACGGUAACUAAUCAGAAAGCCACGGCUAACUACGUG